rnacentral:rRNA from 1 species
AUUGAACGCUGGCGGCAGGCCUAACACAUGCAAGUCGAGCGAGCGGCGGACGGGUGAGUACUGUAUGGGGACUGCCCGAUAGAGGGGGAUAACUACUGGAAACGGUAGCUAAUACCGCAUACUAUCGGAUAACGCCUAUGGGCUUAGCUAUGAGGUGAGGUAAUGGCUCACCUGGGCGACGAUCCCUAGCUGGUCUGAGAGGAUGAUCAGCCACACGGGGACUGAGACACGGCCCAUACUCCUACGGAGGCAGCAGUGGGGAAUAUUGCACAAGGGACGCAAGGCUGAUACAGCCAUGCCGCGUGAAUGAAGAAGGCCCUAGGGUUGUAAAGUACUUUCGGUCGGGAAGCGGUACCGAAAGAAGAAGCACCGGCUAACUCCGUGCCAGCAGCCGCGGUAAUAC